CCUGGGAGAUUGGCAGUUUACCACUAGCACGUACCGGCGUACAAUACAAAUGGAUUACACCAGACGUUAUUUGCUCUAACCAAUACGCAGGCCUUGCCCUUUGCCGUCUCUCGUCUCGAGCUUCUCGCUCACAACCAAUCACGUUCUUCUGGUCACUAGUUCUUAAUUGAUUUCAGCUGCGUCUCCCCCGCCUCUCCUCAUAAAGGGCCCCCACCGUGUCGGAUGUUAAUCGUUUAUUUUGCGUUGGAUUGCGUGCGCUGAACAAUCCGGACAUCGUGGCCACCGACGUGGACACCCCGCCACGAGACCCACGCACACCGACCACCACACUGGGAAGUGUCCUCUGCUCCCUGUGGAAGCAGCAUGGAAGAACUGCAGCAACUCUGAUGGAAACUACCGGGCCUCCACGCUGUUGAACACAAACUGUAGGCCUACUACAAACAGAGGCGGUCCCACUCGGUUAAAGAUCUCGAGGUCAAUGCGGCAGACCGCUGGACCUGGACGUCACCUUCUGCAGAUACUUCACUGCCCUCAGGAAUCCACGGAUAAGGUGAAACAUGUCCGAAAAAUGUCCGAAAAAUCCAAGAUGGAAACUUGUGGAAGGAAGAAAGGGUUCUAUUUUUGCUCAACCCAUAACCCCACUGAGACCUUCUGUGGAAACCUGUCUGACUGACUGACCCUACUGACUGGGGGCCUGUUGAUGUGUGUUUGGUUGGUCUGGUAGAAGGUUUGCUGCUUGUGAUCUGCAAGGUGGUCCUGGGUUAGAUGCGGUGUCUGACUUGCACACCACUCUCCCAAUUCUAUUCUUCUCUUUACUACUUUUCUACUUUCAAUACACUUGCUGCUGCUGCUGUUGACCGCUGGUGGUGCAAUGUGGUUUUUAUUCGCGUAUGUUCUGUGGACUUUGCAUUUGUAUUAAUGAACAUGUUUACUGCCUGUUAGACCUCGGAUUGGCAAACCUAAACUCCUUCACUGGCAAAAUGUAGAUGCAAAUUAAAUGCCAAAAUUAACAUUUCAAUAUUCGUUUUGCGUAUUUCACCAAUAGCUUCGUAACUAGACGGACCUCAUAUAUAAUUUGCUCUUCAAAGAUGCGGUCAGGCGCCCCUCCGUUAUAUAACGUUUUCUGCCCGCUACGAAAUAGACCGAGCAAUAGCAACCCUUUAGGCUAUCUAAUGUGAGGUUGGAUAUACGCAACAUGUAGAGGUGUUUCAACAACAAAGAUGGAAGUUAGUGAACUAAAGACUCUAUAUGCUCACUAAAAGAACAAACGACUACUACUCUUAAAGAUUUUGAGGAAUAUGUAUUUCUGCAUCACCAGUUCCAAUGCUAUGAUUAGUCGAGGCCUAUCCAAUAGCAUAGCAUCGACCCAUUUUAGGUCGCGCCGUUUAGACACGCCCCUUGGAAAUUGAACAACGCACUUCAACCAUGACUUCAACGCAGAGGAUCCAGAAGGAUUUCACAAAGAGUCCAUUGGAAGAUAUCGAGGAACAUGAACAUCACCAAUGAAGGAGAGUAACGUUUCCACUUGCUAUAGGAUUUUAGUGAAGCACUAAAUAGAUAAUAAUAAUAAUAAUAAUAAAAUGUGGUCACCAUUUAUUGACUUUUUGGGUAAGACUUGCUUUACUAAUAUAACCGUGUUAAAACCGCAUUCCUUUACUUUUCUUGUGUAGUUUCCCACUAUUCAUUAAAUGUGUUAUAGAAGUAAAAAAGUAAUCAAUAGAACUAUACACAUUUUUACAACAAUUAAUCAUUAUACAGGAUUUGAACAUUUUCUAUUCGAGCUCAUGCUUCAUAAUAUUUCCAAGGAUUGCAGAGUACCAAAUGAUUUAUGAACAGUGGUUUGUUUUUGUUCAGGAGCGGAUUGUACUCCCAGAGGCUUCAACAGAGCGGGUCUGGAGCUGGGAGCUGCAGGUGGAUGGUGGCCAGGAGCCGUUUAGUCCUACAGGAACAGACGGAGGUGAUGGAGGCGGUCGUCUGGAGGUGCUCAUCUGGAGGUCCGUGGCGGUCGUCUGGAGGUGCUCAUCUGGAGGUCCCUGGCGGUCGUCUGGAGGUGCUCGCCGUGAGGUCCAUGGCGGUCGUCUGGAGGCGCUCGCUGCAGGUGGAGGGAAGGCCGGGAGCCGUGCAGCCCAACGGAUGCAGAACGAAGGACUGAGGCGGAGGUCCUGGAGGGAGAGGCCAGCCUGGAGGGAGAGGCUAGCCUGGAGGCGGUGGUGGCCUGGAGGCGUCCAACCUGGAAGGGGAGGCAUGGAGAGCCAGGUGGCGGCUCCUCAUCCAAAGGGCCUGGAGGCGGCCAACCUGGAAGGCCUGGAGACGGUCGAGGUCCUGGAGGCAACGGCGGGCCUGGAGGUGGAGGCCAACCUGGAGGUCCUGGAGUCGGUGGGCCUGGAGGCGGCGGUUGGGUCCAACCUGGAGGGUCCGGCGGCGGCGGCGUCCUGGGGGGGCCCGGCGGCGGCGGCGUCCUGGAGGGUCCGGCGGCGGCGGCGUCCUGGAGGGCCUGGAGGCGGCGGCUCCUCAUCCAAAGAAAUGAGGCGACGUUGCGGAGGUCCAGGCGUUUGGCCCGGUGGAGGUCCUGGAGGAGACGGCCUGGAGGUGGAGGACGGCUGGGGGAUCCGGCGGUGGAGGUCCGAAGGCGGCUCGUGAUUAGACCAACCAGCUCCUCAUCCAUGGAAGGAUUGAAGGAGUCACUGGGGAUGAAGAUCACUGCUCAGGGGCUGACGACCCCCCUCCCCCUCAUCUUUCUGGAGAAGGCGGUCAAACCUCCACCUCUUUGAAGAGACCAAGCAGCUUAAUGACUGACUGGUUCUUUAUACUCCGGACCUCGUCCCGGAGCAGAGGACAGACCUAAGGCCUACAGCGCAGCAGACUAGAGACUCUCUGUGGAACCGGUUCAAUAAAGUUGACCUCUCCUUCAGGUGACUUAAAGGGAGACCAGAUGUGCGGCAGCUGGGUGUCAUGGUGCAGAGACCCAACGCUGCACUGAACUACACCAGUGUGUCCUACUCCCCAUAAACCCUGAGGAUCCCUGGCUACACCAGCACAUUAAUCCACACCCAACAUUAACACACAGUGCACACUCUAUAGAGCUUGUAAGUCCGCCCCUUGCGGCGGGACCUCGUGAGAUCGUAAGAUAUGACUGGGUUUCAAUGGAGAGAAAGUAAUUAUUUUCUCCAUUAUGUUGCACCACAUUUUGGGGGAAGAAUGUUUGAAUCAAUCUUUGUCAUUUAUUUCUGUACUCCAUAUCUGUAAUCCCAGCUGUUGUAUUUUAACACGGUAGCUGGGAAUCCUCUUUAUAGGGAGCGGCUAGAGGGACGAGCCUGGAAGCAAACCUGAGCCUGGAUCUUAACCUUCUUUCUAAACCUAAUGCCGCAAUUUAACCGCAAAUAAAGUGAGGCCUAAAGUAACUUGACUCUCUUACCUAAACUUGCUUGCCUAAACUCGCUUGCCUAAAGUAACUUGACCCUCUUACCUAAACUUGCUUGCCUAAACUCGCUUGCAUAAAACCUAAACUCGCUUGCAUAAAACCUAAACUCGCUUGCAUAAAACCUAAACUCGCUUGCAUAAAACCUAAACUCGCUUGAAUAAAACCUGAACUUGCUUGGCUAAACUCGCGUUGCUUGCCUAAUACCUGAACACGCUUGCCUGGACUCGCUUGCCUGGACUCGCUUGCCUGGACUCGCUUGCCUGGACUCGCUCGCUUGCCUGGACUCGCUUGCCUGGACUCGCUUGCCUAGACUCGUUUGCAUAAAACCUAGACUCGUUUGCCUAAUACCUGAAGUCGCUUACCUAAAACCUAAACUUGCUUGUCCAAACACGUUACGCAAAGUUAACCAUCCAUAAUCUUGAACCCAAACCAGACUUGUCCCUGGGUCGCUCCACUUUCAUUUAGAAGUUUCUUCUUUAACCUCAUCUACGUUUUGAGUUUCAUUCUUCGAGGGCUUGAAGUGCUUUGGAGGAUAUUUGAACCUUUGUUUUCCGCAUCAAUAAACAUGCUUUAUCUUUACCCAUUUUGUUUUGGAUUGCAUUUCUAUGUGUAAUCUGGCCAAAUGUUCAGUGUCCUUACAUGUAAUGUCUAUGGUCUGACGAUAAUCUGACCUCUUCAUGAAGCAGAAUGUGAUUGUUGUCCCGUGAGCUCCAGGCGCUCUGUGGGCCUGUCAACGUCUCUUUAGCAAAAGGUUGGAGUGAAAUUCAUUUUUGUGCCAUUUUCAUGUGUUCCUGAGUAUUUCAGACCUGUGGUGUUUCACAUGAGACCUUAAAGGGAACUUUUCCUUUUCUGCCUGCAUAUGUAAUGCCUACAUUAGUAGGGUGAUCACUGUUGAUCCCAAUAUUGAUCAUUAACCACCUCAUUCUUUUAUGAUUUUUUUCGUUAAGGAUUACAAAUCAUGUAAUUUAUGAGCAUAUUUGCAAAUGGCUCCAAAUAUCAGAUUGUGUAAAAACUAAUGAAAUAUAACCUGCUUGAUUUAAAGAAAAUAAAACAUCCAAAUAUUAUAAACCUGUUUUGUGUUGCUCUCUUACCAUUUGGAAAUGGAAACGCAGAUAGAUAUUUUUAGCUCUGAUUUGCUGCCUCCCUUUGGUGUGGUGCUGGGAU
ensembl:lncRNA